CUAUUUGAUAUCUUCUGCGGCACGAGCCAAAAUUAGGGUUUGUGUUGGUCGGAGGUAACAGCUAUGGCGCCGAAUCAGAGAACGCGAAAGGUUAGCAGAAACCCCGAAUUGAUAAGGGGCAUUGGGAAGUACUCGAGAUCNCAGAUGUACCACAAGAGAGGGAUUUGGGCUAUCAAGGCUAAAAACGGCGGUGUUUUUCCUCGCCACGACCCUACUCCCAAACCUCAAUCUCCCGCUCUUAAACCUCCCAAAUUUUACCCUGCNGAUGAUGUCAAGAAGCCCCUUCUCAACAAGCACAAACCCAGACUCACUAAGCUCAGGUNCAUUAUGUGUAAUCAUUCAUAUGUAUA
rnacentral:lncRNA from 1 species